AAUGAACGUUGGCGGCGUGGAUUAGGCAUGCAAGUCGAGCGAGAAGUUUACUUCGGUAAAUAGGACAGCGGCGAAAGGGACAGUAAUGUGUAGGUACCUACCCCCCGAUCUGGGAUAGCUGCGGGAAACUGCAGGUAAUACCGGAUAAUGUCUUCGGACCAAAGGUGUGAUUCCGUCAGGGGAGGGGCCUGCAUCCUAUUAGCUUGUUGGUGAGGUAAUGGCUCACCAAGGCAACGAUGGGUAGCGGGUGUGAGAGCAUGACCCGCGUCAUUGGGACUGAGACACUGCCCAGACAUCUACGGAUGGCUGCAGUCGAGAAUCUUCGGCAAUGGGCGAAAGCCUGACCGAGCGACGCCGCGUGCGGGAUGAAGGCCCUCGGGUUGUAAACCGCUGUCGUUGGGGAGGAAAUGCAAAAGGGUUAUCCCUUCUGUUUGACCGAUCCAAGGAGGAAGUACGGGCUAAGUUCGUGCCAGCAGCCGCGGUAAGACGAACCGUACGAACGUUAUUCGGAAUUACUGGGCUUAAAGGGUGCGUAGGCUGCACGGAAAGUUGGGUGUGAAAGCCCUCAGCUCAACUGAGGAAUUGCAUCCAAAACUGCCGUGCUUGAGGGAGACAGAGGUGAGCGGAACUCAAGGUGGAGCGGUGAAAUGCGUUGAUAUCUUGAGGAACACCGGUGGCGAAAGCGGCUCACUGGGUCUCUUCUGACGCUGAGGCACGAAAGCUAAGGUAGCAAACGGG
rnacentral:rRNA from 1 species